rnacentral:rRNA from 1 species
UGCGUAGGUGGCGUGGUAAGUCAGAUGUGAAAGCCCGGGGCUCAACCUCGGAAUUGCAUCCGAUACUGCUGUGCUAGAGUACUGGAGGGGUGACUAGAAUUCUCGGUGUAGCAGUGAAAUGCGUAGAUAUCGAGAGGAAUACCAAAGGCGUAGGCAGGUCACUGGACAGUUACUGACACUGAGGCACGAAGGCCAGGGGAGCAAACG